ensembl:lncRNA
CCUUCACCCAUGGGAGACCUGGACACAUUUCCAUACUCAUUGAAAAAUUCCUUUCUGGCAAGUCAGGCCCUGAUGAUGACUUCUUGAUUGGGUUAUAGUAGAAAGCUGUGCUUGGAGUUUUUGCAAGGGGCUCGGCAGGUGGCGCUAAGUGGUAAGAACCUGCCUGCCAAUGCAGGAGACCUAAGAAUCAUGUUUGAUCCCUGGAUUGGGAGGAUUCCCUGGAGAAGGACAUGGCAGCCCGCUCCAGUAUUCUUGCCUGGAGAAUCCCAUGGACAGAGGAGCCUGGUGGGCUACGUUCAUACAGUCGCAAAGAGUCAGACACGGCUGAAGUGACUUGGCAUACAGAGCACACAGCCUGCUUCCUCCUUUUGAACCUGAGGGAAGAUGAAUUACAGCCAAGACUGAAGUGUGCUGGCUCCGGCCCCAGCUGUCCUCUCCUGUGAGUCUCCUGAAUUUAGUCCAGUUUCUGUAGAUCAGAAAUCCAGGCACUGAGGGGUUGGCCUCUCUGCUAAGGGUUUCACAGGACUGUGUUGGCCAAGGACUACAGUUUUCAUCUGGCACUCAAGAUCUUCUUCAAAGCUCACAGCCUAUGGACAGAAUUCAUUUCCUUACAGAGGUAGCACUGAGAUCCUCCUUUUCCUGCUAGCUUUUGGGCAGGAACUGUUCUCAGCAAAAGGAAGCUGCCUUAAGUUCCUUGCCAUGUGGUCCCCAAGGGCAGUUCACGAGAAGGGUGUUUGCAGUUUUCCAGGCCAGAUGGAUCACAUCUCUUUGAUUUCCUCUUCUGCUACUAGCCAGAGAAAAGUCUCUGCUCUUAACUUGGUC